rnacentral:tRNA from 2 species
GGCGCAUUCGUCUAGUGGUUAGGACACAAGGUUCUCAACUUUGGAACAGGAGUUCAAUUCUCCUAUGCGCUACCA